GUCCACGCCGUAAACGAUGCGCACUAGGUAUGAGAGGUCUGACGCCACUCGUGCCGAAACAAAAGCGUUAAGUGCGCCGCCUGGGGGAGUACGGCCGCAAGGCUAAAACUCAAAAGGAAUUGACGGGGGCUCACACAAGCGGUGGAGCAUGUGGAUUAAUUCGAAGCAACGCGUAGAACCUUACCUGGGUUUGACAUGUACGGAUGCCGUCCAUGAAAGUGGAGCCGGUUGCCUUCGGGUGAAACGUGCACAGGUGCUGCAUGGCUGUCGU
rnacentral:rRNA from 1 species